AUACAGAGGGUGCAAGCGUUAUACGGAAUUACUGGGCGUAAAGCGCGCGUAGGCGGAUGAUUAAGUCAGUUGUGAAAGCCCUGGGCUCAACCUAGGAACUGCAUCUGAUACUGGUCAUCUAGAGUUUAAGAGAGGGAAGUGGAAUUCCAGGUGUAGCAGUGAAAUGCGUAGAUAUCUGGAGGAACAUCAGUGGCGAAGGCGACUUCCUGGCUUAGAACUGACGCUGAGGUGCGAAAGCGUGGGUAGCGAACGGGAUUAGAUACCCUAGUAGUCC
rnacentral:rRNA from 1 species